GCGGGUGUGUCGUAAUGGCAGCGAGCAAGGCUUCCAUCCUUGAGGUGCGGGUUCGAUUCCCGCCACCCGCU
rnacentral:tRNA from 1 species